CGCCAGCCCGGCGGUGUGCGG
rnacentral:misc_RNA from 1 species